ACGAAGCUCCUGGGUAAAUCCUAGGGGAAGGUGUAUCACACUGCUGAGACUGGUUUAGAGCAAGCCAAGUACACCACAAAGCUUUCUGGUGUAUAGCUGGCGGACUGUGGAGUCAUUUCACAGGUAGUACACAAGAGAGCGGUGGAGGAUCAGAGGACGAAUUGG